AACCUCCAGAAGCCAUGAUAGGAAAUGGACCUAAUAAUCUUUAAGGACGUGACAGUGCAAUUCUGGAGUAGGGUUUGCUGGCUCCUGCUCAAAAGAGCCCCUGUAGACAUUCGAUGCUGGAAAACUGCUGUAGGAGCCUGGCAUCAGCAGAAUGUGAGAUUCUGCUAAAACCUAUGAGUUCAUUGCCUGACUGGAUAUUCACAGAGAAAAAAAGUACAAUGGAAAGAAUGCAGUCAGAAUAAUGAGCGAUGACUCCUGGUUCUCCAUUGAGGAGAAAACUUGGAAUAUCGUGCCAUGAACAUUCAACACACAACAAGGAGAGGCAUUUGAGAAGUCACCCGGUGCAGAGCCUCUGUUAAAGAAAUGAAUAAAUGUGGAAGGCGUUCAGCCAUUUUCUGAAUCUCGGCAUGCUGAAGGGAACCCCUCCUGGAGUAAAGUCCUAUGGCUGCAGCAGGUGGGAAAGCUGUGUGCGUCCCGUAGCCCUUCAGAAUCCCGCCAGACCGCACCUGGAUACCACCUCUGUGAGCGUGAGGAUCCCUGGAUACCACCUCUGUGAGCGUGAGGAUCGUGCACGAGUCACGUGUUCCCUCCUAUUUAAGCACUUCUAAGAACUCCCUGAAGAUUAUUCUAGCAAAUUCCAGUAUACAUGAAAAAAAUCAUCCUGACACCAGAACCUACCUGUUGUACCAUUGGGUUGACAUCCAAGAAAAUGAAUGAAAAGAAUUUCUGCAGGACUUGUGGCUAAAUUGAUCUUCCAAUUCUAGAACUGUAAGAUAUCUGGAAGGUGAUGUUCAAAAUGAUGACUAAGAAAAAAAGGAGUGUUUAAAAUAUUAAUAAUUGAUUUGGAUUCUUAACAGGUCUCUAAAGUAAGGAAGGAAAGAUCAAAAGGGAUUGAGGGUGAUAACAUCUUUUUCUAUAAAGUAUUAAGGUUUUAAAUAUGGAUUUUUAGAUAUGCUAAUAUUUGUACUGAGAGGUGGAUGAGUAAGUAAAACUGCAGUCAAACUAGAAAGAUAUAAGAGGACCAAUAGGGUGGCUUAAUGAGAGACAAGGUUGUUUGGAGAAACUGGACAGUACAGUAGUAGAACUUCAGUUCAAGGACUUCAGAGGAAAGCAUAAAAUCCAGAAAAAGAAGAAGGGAAAAGAAUUAUACAGAGGAGCUGACCAGAGUGCCAUGCAUUCAGGAAAAGAAAACUAAUUGAAGAAAAAGAAAUUCCAAGGAAGCUGCACAUUGGAAUUUGUGCAACUAUAUAUGGCGUCUAUACCUUGAGAUCAUUUCCUGCAAGAAUAAGAUUUCCACUGAAUGGUCGCUGUCCUGGAGUAGUGUCGAUGGAAUGUCUGCGACUGCAGACUGGGGCCCUUUACAGUCAUCAAGCACGAACUUGGGUCCACCCUGGCGAUUGAGCCAUUUUUCCUGAUGGAUUUGGAGAAAUUGAAGUGCACUGAAAAAUGUUCUAUCAGCAAGGUGGGUGGUAUUUGCUUUAAGCCUAAAGGGAUGCUUGACAGACUGGCCAACUGACAUAUGUGUGUGUGUGUGUGUGCACGUGUGUGUGUGUGUGUAGCUACAGAAGCGAAACAAGGAAACAAGGAAAGAACAGCAGUGGAGGUUCUCAUUGGCCCCUGGUUCCAACAAGGAGCUCAGCUGAACAAGCCAUGAUGCUCACAGACUUGGCCUGGGAAAGAGGAGAGCCCCCAUGAUGGCUCUAUAACGCUAGCGCACCACACUCACUUUCCGGCUACUAGUCUGGAGCACUUUUCAAGCUACAAAAGAAGAAUCCCAUGGGACAUUUUCUAACCUUCAAGAAAAAAAAAACAUCAGGACUAAUAGGCUUUCAAAUUAAAAAAUUUUUUUUCACUUCUCUGUAGUAUAGAACUGCAAAUGACUACCUAAAAGGGUCUCCUGCCUUUAUUCUCCCAAGUUUUCAGGUACUUAGGGUGAGAGCCUUGUGACAAUUACAUCAGUUUCCACUGAAGUCCGCAGGGCUGAGGCUUAUACCAUCUUUCUCAAGGAGAUUUCUUUGGCUAAUAAGGAACCAGCAGCUUGUUUGAAAGGAUGCUGCAAUAUAGGGAAAAAAAUAGAAUUUCAGGUCAAGGAAAAAUGUUAUGGUAGAAUUACCACUCUUCAUUUUAUUUAUUUUUUUUAAAUGGAGAACAUAAGAGGAGAAUCCUUCCUUCUCUCUUUUUUUUAAAGAUUUAUUUGAAAGUCACAGUUACACAGAGAGAGAAGGAGAGGCAGAGAGAGAAAGGUCUUCCAUCCGCUGGUUCACUCCCUAAUUGGUUGCAAUCGUCAGAGCUGUGCCAAUCCAAAGCCAGGAGCCAGGAACUUCUUCUGGGUCUCCCAUGUGGGUGCAGGGGCCCAAGGACUUGGGCCAUCUUCCACUGCUUUCCCAGGCCAUUGCAGAGAGCUGGAUAGGAAGUGGAGCAGGUAGGACUUGAACUGGUGCCCAUACGAGAAUGCCGGCACUGCAAGGGGUGGCUUUACCUGCCACUCCACAGUGCAGGCCCAGAAUUACCACUCUUUAAAGGCUGAAAAGGAAGCUGAUGCGAGUCUCAUUUGUAAUGGUAAGAGCAGUGCAACCCAAAUUAGGCUUUGAAAAUAGCUCUCUGAUAGCAGUAUUUGACUCUUAAAAGGAGGACUAUCAUUAAAAACAAAUUUAUUUCAUUCUCCCUUCAAGUUUAAAAUGUACUUUCAUUCCUACAGGUAUAAAAACACCUACUGACCCUGGUACAUAAAGCUCAUGGUAUGUAAAGAUUUAUUGACACAAUAACCUGAACAUCCAGCUCACAAUACAAAGCAAAAUCUAAAUCACUACCCUGUUUCUCUCUGUUGGUGUUUAAUCCAGGGCAUUAGAUCGUGAAGCUUCUCUGAGGCUCCACACCACUGAACCAUAGCCCAGACAAGAGGCCCAGUGCCUUCGUCAUGACCAGCUUAUCUAAUCUAGUGGGUAAAAGCCAUCCAGCCCAUUUUAGCAAGCAUUGCUGAAUAGCUUUCAUGUACUCAGCAUAUGCAGCCAGGAAUAUUGCUGUGGAACUAAAAAAGAUUAGGAGAUGAGGUAUGAGAGGUGUGUCCUACCAGAGCCACCUGCCCAGGUCUCCAGGCCACCUUGCUCUAAAGCAUCAGCUAUGUUGUAUUGGCAAGCAGGUGCUGAGAGUACACAGAUACUGCGGACUGUCCGAGCAUCUAAUAUAAGAGAGAAUCCAGUGGGCAAAGUUGGGCUGGGGCAAGAGAGAGAUUUAGAAAGCAGAGGGCUUAGCAGUCAGGGAAAAUUUUUAGGUUGUUAGUCUGAGGACUCCUGGAGAUCACCUGCUGUCUUUUUUUUUUUUUUUUUUUUAAGAUUUAUUCAUCUGUUCUGAAUGUCAGAGUUACAGAGAAUAGGGGAGAGAGAGAAAGAUCCUCCAUCUACUGGCUCACUCCCCAGAUGGCCUCCACAGCCAGCGCUAAGCCAGGUUGAAGCUCCACCUGGAUCUCUCACGUGCGUGGCAGGGACCCAAAUACUUGGGUCAUCUGCUGCUGCUUUUCCCAGGGCAUUAGCAGGGAGGUGGAUAGGAAGUGGAGCAGCAGGGACAUGAACCACCACCCUCGUGACAUGCUCACACAGGCUGCAGCUUUGCCCCGGGGUGCCACAAGGCCGGCCCCACCUGAUGUCUCUUAAACCAACCUUCCGCCCCAAUGUCUGGGUUAGCACUGCUCUGCCAAGCUUCAAGGGUCCUCAUCACCCCGGGCAUGUUGCUCACUGUGUGUGUUGUUAGGUCUUUGCAUGCAGUGGGGUACAGAUGGCCUGAAGGUUGCAGGAAGAGCUGGCUUCAUGGGCAUGUUGUCCCUGUGUCUGCAGCAGGCUCGCGGGCACAAAGAUUCCACUCUUGGUUACAUGCUCCGCUGUUGCCACCUUGAAAUUUGCAACAAUUUUGGUCAAAGGAAACUCACCUUUUCAUAUGGCAGUGGGCCUGCUAAUGAUGCAGCCAGUGCUACAUACAAGCCUGCAUCUCAGAGAGCCACUUCAUCUGCUCUACCCUAAGGGGAGGAGUUCUGGAUUUAAAUAGACAGAUGUGGGGAGCAACUUGGACUAGACUAAGUUACUGGAAUUAAGACUUAAUCUAUGCAUCUGCUCUCCCACAAUAUGGCGCUGGGAGAGGAGUAAACAGCUUCUACGCAGCUGCCUCCAGUUCGACCAAUAAACUGCAGGAGCUGCUCCUGAUUGGAGGAGAGCAGCGUGCUCGGCGUAUGGGUAGCAGAGUUGGGAUUGGUGGAAGAGGACUAUAAAGGAGGAGAGAGACAACAUGCACCAGGAACAUCUGGAUAACAUCUGAGCAGCCCCCGAGAGAGCCGGCAGGCGGUGUGCCGCUCCCUCGCGGAAGUGGGGAAAGUGGCAGAGGGAACCGCCCCUCCACGGAGGUGGAGGGGUUGCCAGCCAACCCGGGAAGGACCAGCAGCAAACCCGGGAAGGGCCGAGCAGACAAAAGAACAGCGCAGGGUCCUGUGUUGUUCCUCCGCGAAUGGGGGAGCGACAGACAGAGGCUCUGUUGGAAAUACGGAGAGUAGCCAUCAAAAGCUGAUAUUGCCCUUUCUUGGGAUGUGGCCAGGGCCCCUCAUUCAGAAUGGAAAAAACAAAUAAAAGCUGCUCAUCAUGAUAAUGGGGAAGCCAUGGAUUCUAAGGUCAAGCCAGGUGCUUGGCUACUUAAUUGGGUAAAUGUUCUUUUAUUCCCUUCCAUAUGGAUUGAGACUUCACGACUACCGGAAAAGUCAAGGUUUGUCCUUGGGAGGUGAGCUUAUUUUAAUAGGUCAACUAAUACAUUUCCAGCAGGCCUGCAGCUUGUAGAAGCAUUGAAAGGGAGCCCCCAGGGGCACUUGCAGCCUGAGCCCUACCGUAGGAGCCUUUCUCCUAAACCUGUAAUAGCAAUAGCAACAGGGCCACAGGAUUAACUCUAGAGGACAAUUCAGGGCGUGAGUUGUGGUCUCAGACUUUGGACAUUGUUCAGGGGGUAGGACCUGGUGGCUUUUAAAAAGUAGCUUCCUAAUGAGAUUCCAGGGGAAGUCCAAGCUAACGGAAAUGCCAAUCGCUAACAUUCCUGUGCUGUAAUUCCAACACAGCCCUAGUUAUUCAUCAGAAAGUCCAUAUAAGCAUGUACUAUUUGUUCUUUGGUCUUGGGCUUGCUAAGGGGGAUUGCAGACAGAGAACAAGGGCUUGAGACGAGGGAACUGUUCUACUCCCAUCUCUUUCUGACAUCUGUGGGACUGAUGGUGUCCACCAUUCCGGGGAGUGAUGCCCUAAGCUCCACGCGCUCAUGGAGGCCUUGGAUGUGCUGUUAGUCCCAUGAGAUGAAGCUCAGUUACGGAGAGGACUGACACAAGAGGCAGGAAAGUCAAACUGCUGCUACCCCUGUGCGGUAUCAGGGAGCAGGGCGCCUGUUGAACUUCCAGAUUAGAAAAUUUAUCUAACAGGAUGAAAAAUUCUUUUGAAAGAUUUUAAAAAGGUUUAUUAACUUGAAAGGGAGACUGAUGAGAAUGAAAAAUAGAGAGAGAGAGAGAGAGAGAGAUUCCAUAUACUGCUUCAUGCUGCACAUGGCCACAAUGUGGAGGAGGGGGCUGGACCAGGUUAAAGCUAAGACCCAUGAACUCCAUUUGGGUCUCCCGCGUGGGUGGCAGAAUCUCAAUUACUUGGACCAUCAUUCGCUGUCUCCCAGGUGCACUAGCAGGAAGCUGGAUGGGAAGUAAAGUAGCUGGGACUUAAGCCAGGUACUCCCAUAUGGGAUGUGGGUGUCCCAAGUGGCAGUUGAAUCUGCUGCGCCACAAUGCCAAUCCCCAGGGCUGAAACUCCUCCACCAUUGUUACAUCUUAUUCAUCUAAUAUGUGAGCCAAAAUCUUUAUUUUUUAUAACACAAAAGUUAUGUGUUACAGAUAUGCUAUAUCUAGUUAUAUAUAAUGGGCACAGUGCAUGUCAUAGCUAAGUUUGUCAUGCACUGAAAUAAUUCAUUGAAUUCGAUGAAACAAGGUUGUGUUCUAUAUUUAAUAACUUUGUAAUUGUUAUUGCACUGCGUGUAAUGAGGCAAGUAUAACGUAUGAUUCGCUAAUACUGCUUUUACAAAGGCAAAUGGAGUUUCCCUUCAUUUGCUUGGCCCAUUUGUUAGCAUUCCUUUUUAAAAAAAUUAAAAAUUUUAUUUAAGGUAUACAAAUUUCAUGUAUUUCAUGUACACAGGUUUAGGCACAUAGUGAUUCUUCCACCCUACUCUUCCUCCUGCCCUCUCUUUCACUCUUCCUCCUCCUCCCUCUCCUGAUCCCUCUCUCAAAAUUUUUACAAAAAUCUACUUUCAGUUUACUUUAUACUCCUAAGAUUAACCCUGCACUAAGUAAAGAGUUCAACGAAUAGAAGAGAGGGAAAAAAAAACCACACUGUUCAGGGCUAUAAACAAUCAUCCAAGCUCAAAACGUCAAUUUCACUCCUAUGCAUUGCAUUUUUGAUCCUCUGUUUUACCACAGAUCACGGAGAACAUGCGGUAUCCGUCGUUUGAGGAUUGGCUGAUUUCACUCACUGUAAUGUUGGCAUUCGGAACCGAGCGUGCUGGUCUCGCUCUGCGGCCCCCAGAUUUGCCCAGAUGUGCAGGGCUGGGUGACUGAGGCUGGCUCCCGUGGGCUCCAUCAUCACACUCCCCUGUGGCCUGGCGCCUGGUUGGAUUUAGUCAAUGAGAAGCACCCGCAGAAGGGGAGAGUGCAGAGGACAAAGGGUGGGCUUCUCCCUCCUCAGUCCCAGGUCCUCACUCCCUGUCUCAGUGAGAGCAGGAUCUCCCGUGCCCUUCAGUCAGCGGCCCCUCCGCCGAUGCUCCAGUUACCCUGGGCCCGGCUCGCCUAACUGCCUCCCCUUGUGCGUUCGGCCCUGACCCUGCAUGACUCCGGUUGCCAGCCUCUCGCGCUGGGUCUUGCCUCAGUCCUGCCUCCCUGGGCAACUGUUCCUUUCCUAAAAUCUCUCCCUUUGAAUCCACCUGGCCCUUGGGGGAGCAUAGGCAGGUUUUCUUCUUGCUGCAGGCAGGCUUCACCCCAUGCCUCCCCCCCCUCCCCCCUCCCUCAGGUGCACAAGGCAAUGCUGGUGAAUCUGCUCCCCAGUACCUGGAGUUCUGUCUGGCCAGCGCCCCACCUCCGCCCUCUCCCUCACUCACCUGCCUGGGCGCACACACGUGUUGCCCCAUGUGUUUGCCUCAGCAUGACUCGUGUGGAGGCAGAUUUGGACCGAAAACAUUUGAUUGGAAAGCCACUGCAGGCCCGUACUGGGAGGAAGUCUCCAGGUUUCCAAACCCAUCCUCUUGUAUCAUCAAAAUGUCUCAGGUCAGAUCGUGUGUGUGUGUGUGUGUGUGUGCAUGUGUGUGGGUUGUAUCUAGUGGUAAGGAGGCCCAUGGGUCAAAAACCCAUUUGAGUUUGUUUGGAUGAGUAAGAGAUGAUGGGAAUUCACUGUACAAGAUUAUAAAUAUUACAGAAGUUAUUCAAAAUCUCAUUUACUUUUAGUCUGACUGCCUCUUUACAUAUUUAAAUUCCAUUUGCAGCCAGCGACCCUGAUACUCUUAAAGAAAAUAACAACAAACAAGCUACAGCUAAGGGAAAUGUAAAUUGGUUUGUUUGCUUCUUAACACUCCUGGGCAGUGAAAACACAAGCAAUUGUUAUUCCAAGGGACUCACUGAAUAUACAAAAUCUCUGUCUUUCUUAGGAGUUUCUUUAAAGAUUACCCACUUUUGGAAGAGUUCUUUGUGUCUAGAAACCAAUUUUAUGCUCUUUUUGUCCAGCUACAAAGUUCUUACAAACUUGUUUUCUACACACACACACACACACAUUUGCACUCCUUUAGAAAAGGGUGAAAACAGGGUGCUUUGGGAGCACGUGUUUGUCGUUUUUCUCAUAGUGUGCUAGGAGCCUCUAGCAGCCCCGUGGAAUCGGGCUGUCCUGGAGGGGUUUGUGUUACGGAGCGCAGGGGGCCGGGCUCCUGCACAGCUGGCACCCUGGCCCUGGGCUGGAGUCGGUGCACACAGCAGUGGGGCUGGCGGCAGGCCUCUGGGCUCAGGCUGUGAAAUCACCCCUGCACCCAUGAGUUCCCAGCCUUCCUCUUCCUGGUGAACGUUUCCAGCAGCUUGCCUCGUGCCCUCACUCAGAAGUGUGCCUUCCUGGGUGAAUUGCUAUUGGUCUUCUGGUGGCUGUUUCCGAUGAGUGAUCCUGUAGAAGCCAAGAUGCUGUUUCCUGGGCAUGUGUCCUUGUGCUGCCACCAAAAGACGUAAUAUGGUGUCCUUUGCCUUCACUCCAAGUGGGCGGUGUAGAGGAACACUAUUUCCCCAAUGCAGAUGUCUUUGUCUCUUUCCUCGGCAUAAUAAAGUACCACACAGGGAAUCUGAAGCUAAGCUACCCCAAAUUCAGUAUUUUCAUAUAUGUGGAUUACCCAGUUUUUAAAAUGAUUCUUUUAAAUAUGGAACCACUCAGUGACAUUUAAAAUGGGAUUUGAUUUGCAAAAUUUUUAUUCAAGGAUGUGUGAAGAGAAGAUAUACUUGUACCACAAUGUUUCAAUUUAUUUGAGUACACAAGUCUCAUAAGAGACACCAACCCUUGCCAAGCUCCAACAAAGACUGGUAGCUCAAAUUUGGAUUUGCCUUUUUAAAACACCAUUCAACAAUUCAAAAGGAAUUCUCUUUUGUCUCACAUACUAUUAAACAGAAGAAGCUUUCUUUUGUUCUAAUUUAUCAAACUUAAGACACGGUUUUUAAUUUAUUUGAAAGGCAGAGGGACGAGAGGAAGCGAGAGGCAUAAGAAAGACACAGGGAUUUCCCAUUUGCUGGUUCACUCCCCAAAUGGUAACCAACACCUGGGGCUGCGCCAGGCCAGAGCUAGGAGCUGGAACCUCAAUUCAGAUUUCCCACAUGGGCGGUAGGGAUUCAACCGCCAUCACCUAGCUAUGGGCUCCCAGGGUGCUAAAUAGCAGGAAGUUGGAAUUGGGAGCUGGGCUGGAUUCAAACCCAGGCUUUCUGAUAUGAGAUGCAGACAUCCCAAGCAGCAUCUUAACCAUUGGGCCAAAUGCCCGCCCCGAAGCUUGUUUCUAAGGACCCAAAAUGAGUAUAUUUGGGUGUGCUCUCUGUUUCAUAAUAAACUGUAUUUCUUCUUGGUGUGUCACUGCUCAAUGAUAUAAAUCGCAAUUGUAAUUAUAGCCCACAGAGGCUCCGACUGUUCAACAAAGGUGAUUCAGGGAGGUCAAAACAGACCGUGAAAGUCAUUACAGCAAAGCCGUUCAGGCUGGUGGUGCAGUAGGAACUCAUUGCCCAGCUGAUUGGAAAGCACAGAUGUGGGUUCAGAACAAGAGGCUAGCUUGGUCUGGAUGGGAGACAGCUGGACGGAACGAGCUGGGAUUUGGGAGGAAAGCAUGGCGCUGAUGCUGCGGGGCCCAUGUGCCAAGAAGUGCCCUGCUGUCUGCUGCUGGCUAUGCCACACUUCUGCCUUCUACCUGGACUUUCAGAAACAGGACUUAAGUGUGAAAAUCUAACAAAGGCUUUAAGUCCUAGGAACCCGAAGAAGCAUUUGCUCCCUGACAAAGGAAGGUAGGGACAUCCUACAAGUAUUGUCUCCGAAGGGAGGCACUGAAAGAUAAAUUCUCAACUACUCCACUUGUUACAAGUAGCAGGUUUAACCAUUCUACCUGUACCGGUUAGGUUGCAACAGCUUCUUCCAAAUUUUCUUGGAACCUUGAUUCUAAGCAUUAAGACUUCCUGUAACAAUGUCCAAUGUCAAGAAGACACUAAGAACACCAA